GUCUGUCGUUGCUUAAGUGGGACGCGAAGCAGCGCCAGCCUUUGACCACACCAAAUCGUAAGCCUAAACUCCCCACAUGAUCCUGCGGGACGAUGCCUAGCCUCGUCGCCUGACGCCGACUUUACGCCCGGGCUGGAUAGCCUCAUCUCAUCGUCGAUCGAGGAAGCAGAAGCGAAGGCCUAAUUCCGGAUAUCUCAUGGGGUUCUCCGAGUUGUGACAGUUGUUUACCAUGUUGUCGAGACCUCUCCUGCUCGUUUUCCUAUUUUGGUUACUGAUCAUGGUAACACACUUCGAGCAGCGGCAACAAAUUGUCACCGAAGCUGAAGCCAAUCCUGUGGUGUCGCGAAGGAAGCAACGCAUGUUAGACAGUGAAGAGGUUGUUAAAGAGAAAAUAAUUCUAUCGCAAGAAAAAAGCAUUCAACAACUCCAUGAUCUUGUGCAGAGCCUUAAACAGCAGUUGUUGCAUUGCCGAGGCAUUAACAAUUCAGUGCAUGAUGAUGGAAAUACUUUGAGUGAAAAAAUGUGAACAAGAACUAUAGGCUGCAGAUACUCAACUAAUGUCCAAGAAAUUUACAAGUUAUUUGGCAGCAAGUCUUGUCAUAUUUCUUGCGUGAUGAAUAUGCAAUAGUUCAUCAGGAGUAUUCCUAAUAUUCCAUAAAGGAUACAUAUUUUGUUGUUGCAUUAAAAAUAGAAAGCUGUUAGUUUAUAUGUUUUUCUUUUUUGUGCAUGCUGUAUCUCAUGACAAACUUUCAAAUUUAUGUUAAUGACGCUAGUCCUUUGAUUAUGACCGAAA